GGUAGCAGCCCCUGGUAUAUCCAGGACAUCAGCACAUAGAACCAGUGAAAGGGUCCUCCCUCAUAGUGACGCAUGUCAUAGACUCAGAUUUAUACAAACAAAUGCUGAGCAAACCAUGAAGAGUCUCUGGUAUUUUCAACAAUAUCAUCACAGAGGAACUGUAUUGAUUUCCUUCCACAGUGAGUCUCUGAGACCUAGUUUUGGCAGAAGGAAGUACCAGAGGGAGCUGAGCUGUUGAACAUUAUGUGCGAUCAUGUAAUAACUGCAAUCGGAAGGGAAACACUCAGAGUCCUGGAGAAAGAGAAAUUCGCAUUUGUGGACGCCUGCUGGGAGCUAGGCACUUUCGAAUAGUUCCUGUCACCUAACUUAAGUAUCAUUACUCAAGUACUAAUUAACUUAGGUAUUAUGCAGAGAAGUCGAAUAAUUAGAAAAGUGGCAUGACUUAUACAAGGCAACAUAACAGCUAGAAUUUAAAUGUAAAACUGCCCGAUUCCAAAUCCACACUCUUUCUACUACAAGGCCUUGCCCCCUUCUCUGGGCCACACCAACAUCGCAGUUGCAGGCGAAGAGGCCAUGUCUAAUGACUGCCCCCUUUACAUGCCAACCUAGUCAUGGUCAUGGUGGUGUGAUAUCUAAAAACAAAAUGGAACCACCAUGAAAAAUUUGUCUCUGAGGACCCAGAGUAGUAAAAUCCCAGGAUAAGGAAGGCCUUUAGCGGAUAUAUGGCCUGCUGUCCCGUUCAGUCUAGAAAACGCCUCCUCAGGGUCCCUGCAGAUGGUCACCUCCCUCUGCAGGAGGACGUCCAGUGGGAGGAGAGCCACUUCCCCAGGUCUCCCUGACACUAAUGUCAGAAGGUGCUUUCUUAGGUUGAAUCAAAAUCUCUCUCCCUGUGUCUUCUCUUUGCUUCCUGUUCUUUUCUCUGGAGCAACAUGAUGUAAAUAAGUUUAUUUUCUUUUGUGCACAUCAGAAUUUCAUAUUCAAAGGACAUCAUCAGCUCUCUUGUUAGAAGGGGUCCAGGCUGAACACCCUCUUUUCUCUCAAUGAUCCCAGCUAUGACACAGUUUUCUGAUCUUCAACAUCCUGGAGGCCCAAGACUAUUCAAAUAUGUCACAAAUAUCUCUAAUCACAUCUUGUGAUUAUGACUUGGAUAGAAGAUAAACAUUAUUUCCAUAAUGAUGAACAUAAGACAUUUGAGAUUUUUUUAAUUUUUAGAGUUGUUAUUUUGAAUUAUUUACCUUCCUAAAUCUAAAAAAAUUCCCUUUAGAACUCUUAAUUUCUUUCCUAAUUUCUCUAUCCUACUCUCAAGCAGGAUCAACCUCCCAAACGCAUUGCUUAUCAGGCUGUGAUACCAAACUGCACAGGAAAAGCUUAAUCUUCAAGAACCUGUAGCUGUUCUCCCAGACAUCCAUAUCUCCUUGUCCUAACCCUUUGAUUUAUGUUAUUGUUUUUAAGUCCCAUUUUCCAGGCAUUUGCUAAGCCAAUAGAGAACUGGGCCAAUUUCCAAAGUCCUGCUAAGAA
ensembl:lncRNA LINC01255 long intergenic non-protein coding RNA 1255